GGCCGCCUGGCGAAAUGGCAUCGCGUCUGACUACGAUAAGACGGCGAUCAGGAGAUUGCAGGUUCGACCCCUGCGGUGGUCA